AUCUUGCGGCCGGAUACCGGUUCCCGUAUCGCCCCACCAGGGGAUGCGGGAUUAAAAGGGAAUCCGGUGAAAGGCCGGAGCUGUUCCCGCAACUGUAUGCUCAGUCCCCUUAGGGGGAUGCCCGCUGCCAUCUUCAUUAGACCACUGUCUGUUUUUCGGACGGGAAGGCAGGCAGCCGGGACGCAAGCCAGGAGACCUGCCGUUUUCCGCAUUCAUUG
rnacentral:ncRNA from 2 species